UUUUGACCUCGGAUCAGGUAGGGAUACCCGCUGAACUUAAGCAUAUCAAUAAGCCGGAGGAA
rnacentral:rRNA from 1 species